rnacentral:rRNA from 1 species
AUUGAACGCUGGCGGCAGGCUUAACACAUGCAAGUCGAGCGGGGUGAUGGUGCUUGCACUAUCACUUAGCGGCGGACGGGUGAGUAAUGCUUAGGAAUCUGCCUAUUAGUGGGGGACAACAUCUCGAAAGGGAUGCUAAUACCGCAUACGUCCUACGGGAGAAAGCAGGGGAUCACUUGUGACCUUGCGCUAAUAGAUGAGCCUAAGUCGGAUUAGCUAGUUGGUGGGGUAAAGGCCUACCAAGGCGACGAUCUGUAGCGGGUCUGAGAGGAUGAUGCGCCACACUGGGGACGAGACACGGCCCAGACUCCUACGGGAGGCAGCAGUGGGGAAUAUUGGACGAUGGGGGGAACCCUGAUCCAGCCAUGCCGCGUGUGUGAAGAAGGCCUUAUGGUUGUAAAGCACUUUAAGCGAGGAGGAGGCUCUUUUGGUUAAUACCCAAGAUGAGUGGACGUUACUCGCAGAAUAAGCACCGGCUAACUCUGUGCCAGCCGCCGCCGUAA